GCCCUGCAGGAGGUUCUCUAGGGGGGAACGUGGCUCUUACUGCUAACGAUUUCCUACCUUCAGCCCAGACCUUUUGAGGUGUCCAGCUUUCAAGUUCCAAAGCACAGGGACACCUUGGACUUGGAACGGUAAGGUUGCGUUCUCUUUACGAGGUCAGAUAAGGAAACUUGGCAAAGGCACUUUGUUUAUAACUAGGCCUUUAGUUUUUGGCCGACCGGUCAAAGUUGUUUGCUUGCAGAAGUGCUUGGGAAACUCCCCCCAUCAAGUUAGUGUUUAUGUGCUUUCUGGUUCCACCUCUGAGGAACGGCGCACGGCACCAGUUUCUCUGAGAAAAUAAUACUCCCUUUCCUUCGAAGGCACCUUUUCUUUAAGCCCUCUUUUGUUUCUUUUGAGUCUUGCAGAUCAAAACUUGCCUUGCACUGAAGCACAUCAUUUCCCAUCAGUUGGAUGUGUGCAUAUAGAACUAGGUCAUCUGUUGAUGUGACCUAAUUUAUUCAAGCUGUGAGUUCUUUGUGAUCAGUUGCUGUUAACAUCAGCACUUCACUGCGUGUUUAUUUUGUAACUUGGGUGCCAGAUUGUAAGGAUACAAAGGGUGGUCUCCUGCUGCUUUUUCACUAGGUGGGUAUGAGGACCAGUAAUGGUGGUCUCCCUAAUCCACAAACCACACUGCCCCAGUCUUUAUCAACAUGGCCUUCUCCAAAUGUUGGACUCCAUGACCAUUGGCCAUGCUGGAUGGGGCUGGACCUGCCCUGUGGAACUCCUUGCCUGUAGAGGUUUGGCACGAGCCAUCCCUGCUCCCUCAGCUGUCGGGUGGUUAGAAAGACAAGGCCAGAGUUGGGAGUUGAGUUACGUGAGCUAGAAGCUGGACGCAAGACAGCAGGCUGGGCAGCUGAGAGACAGAGCCAUGCCUGAUUUCUCCUUGAAUCCAAGGCUGUGGCUAUGGGAGAAGCAAGAUCCUUUGGGGGUACUAAUGCUGUGAACCCCUCCAUCAUAGGCUCAGGUUGUAUAUGCAUGAAAAUAAACCAUAUAUCAUAAAGACACCACAGUCCUCAAUCCGAGGAAACACGAACCUUGGGUAAGCACCUGGAACCACUGGAAUUUUGCACCUUUCAGAGAUUGGCGUGUGUUAUAGAAAAAUUUAGGUCUUUUAUAUAGAUAUAGAUAUAGAUAUAGAUAUGUAAUAAAUGUUUAUAAAUGUAGCAAGCAAACACAUAUAUAAAUAUAUACACCACAUGUCCAAAACCCACAGGAAAAGUCCUAAAGCCAUUUUGACUCUUUCAGUCACCUCAAAUAUUUCUCUACAAGGUCAGAAGAAAUGCAGAAACCUCCCCAGUGUCUCUGUCUGUCCUCACAAAUCCUGCCACAUUUAAGGUGUGAAUAGGGUGAUCCUGUGACCUGGCUCAAGAAUUAAGUAUUAUCAUUACAAAAGAAUGUCCAGGCUCCCCAGGUAAUCCAGUCAAGUGACCAUUAACAGGUAACCUGGCAGGCAGGGUAAAAACAACACACUCAGAUUUCUGUUGUAGGCUGCCUUUUCUGUGACGUAGGUAUGAUGUAUUUGGCGGGUGGUCUUGGGCUGCACCCCUUCUGAGAUGUAUGUAUGAUGUUUCUGGGGGUAGUAUUGGACUCCAGGGCAGGCAAUUUAAAAUGUCUAUAUAAGGGCGGGCACACCUUUGUUCUGGGUCCUCCUCUCUCCUGUGUGUGUGGGAGUACCCUGUUGCAACAGUUCAAUAAAGAUCAGGCUUACUAGCUGCUUUGCUUAUCAAUAUUCUCUGGUUGGUCUCUGUUAUUUUCUCCUACCAAGAGAGAACCUACAAAAGGACUCUAUAUGGGCUCUUGGGUACCACAUAAGGGAAAAGGAGCAGUGUGGGUUUUUUUACUUAUAUCAGCAUGCAACACCAAAUAUAAAAAGACCCUUUCUCUGCUUUUAUAUGUGAACAGGGCAAGCAAAUUAAUAAAAUGCUUGUUGGCUAUUUUCAGUUUAGCUCUUUUGCAAGCAUACAGUACUCUCAGUUUUAAAAGUAAAUUGCCAUGCACAGCAAACAAAAGAGGGUGUUGGUUUUUCCACCAAUUGUUUCCCUCUGCAGCAAAACAAUUCCAGCAGACUUAGGUUUCAGGUUCCCAUAAUCCUUCCAUUAGUUUCACUUUUGCCUUGGCUGCAUCGUGAGAGGUUUGGAUGCCAAACACAGCUAGGGAAAUAGUUAACACCCUUUUUUCUGCCAGUUGCCUUUCAAACUUUAGCUUACAAAGGAUUUGAAUGAUGCCAGUGCUGGUUACCUUUAGCCUGUUUGUUUUGUGUUUUCAAAAAUUAAGGGCAGGCAAAAAAACCCCCCAACUUGCUGUGAAAUUGUUAAGCGAUGCUUUUCUGCCUAAUUUGCCUAGACAAGUCCACACAUUUGUGACCAUUCACAGACUUUUCAGUGCAACUUGUUUACAGGGCUUUGAGCAUAACCUACAUUUUCAAGAACACAAAGGUGGCUGAGCCCUGAAGGACUUUUGGACUCACACAAACUCCCUUCCUGAUUCCUUUCUACUUUCCCUGUUUCCAGGCAAACCAUCAUUUCCCAUUUUUCCAGAACUCAAAGCUAUCAUUUGUGCCUGUCAUGAAAACUCAGUUUGCAAACCAUAGUUUGAUCUGGAUUUCCAACUGUGGUGAGUUUUUCUGGGGGGAGAGGGGAAAAGCUAACCACUAUUUACUGGUUCAGAUGAAACAGCAAACUAUGGUUUGAAUAGCUCAGUUGGUUAGAGCGUUGUGCUGAUAACUCCAAGGUUGCAGGUUUGAUCCCUGUAUUGGACAACUGCAUAUUUCUGCAUUGCAGCAAGUUGAGUUAGAUGCUUAUGAGGGUCCCUUCCAACUAUAUGAUUCUAUGAUCAAUGAUAUAAGUUUGCCUUAAACCAGAAAGGGGGAGCAGGGGGCAGGGUUUGGAAUAAAAAGAAGAGGGUCUUCAGUCCUUCAAGGCGUGUUCACAUGGCAGCAAAAAGUGGUUUGGCAUCAUAGCUGAACAGCCACUCCAACUCAUUUAAUACGCAUUUGUAUGCAGUUUUCCACUUUCUAGAUCAGGAAUUGCAGUCAUAAAUCAGUCAUUUUUGCAUAUCUAAGUACUGAUGCCAUUUCCCCUGCACUGAGUGAUUCCAGUGCAAUCCACACACCUACUUUUCCAAGCACAAUUCAUAGUGUUGGUGUUGACCUUUAAAGCCCUAAAUGGCCUCGGCCCAGUAUACCUGAAGGAACGUCUCCACCCCCAUCGUCCUGCCCGGACACUGAGGUCCAGCACUGAGGGCCUUCUGGCGGUUCCCUCACUGCGAGAAGCCAAGUUACAGGGAACCAGGCAGAGGGCCUUCUCGGUAGUGGCACCCACGCUGUGGCACACCCUCCCACCAGGUGUCAAAGAGAAAAACAACUAUCAGACUUUUAGAAGACAUCUGAAGGCAGCCCUGUUUAGGGAAUCUUUUAAUGUUUAACAGACUAUUGUAUUUUAAUAUUUUGUUGGAAGCUGCCCAGAGUGGCUGAGGAAACCCAGCCGAUGAGCGGGGUAUAAAUUAUUAUUAUUAUUAUUAUUAUUAUUAUUAUUAUUAUUAUUACUUUCUGAGGCAACUAGCCCUAUCUUUCUUGAAGCACCAGUAGAGCUAUGCUGGGUCGUAAUGGUAGAAAGUUGAAAUGUGGAGUUCAACUUGUUCAGCUCAUGAGUAAGCAUUGCCAACUUUGUGUGUGUGCAGACAGCAGUUUGUCACCUUUGAAAAGCAAUGGUGGGCAAUGCUCCGAUGGAGGCUCUCUGCCUAUAAGAAAUGCCUUUUACCAGAUACAGCUGGUACAACAGCUAUAGCUGUUCCAGGACAAGGAUAGUCUGGCCACGGUGAUCCAUGCAUUGAUAACCUCAACACAUGACCUAGUGGUGCAGCAAUAGAACUGCUGGCACAUUGGCAAAGCUAAGCAAGGUCUAGUACGGUUUCAAACUGGAUGGAGGGGCCAUGUGUUGAGAUUCCUGUCUUGCAGGGGGUUGGACGGGAUGAACCUCAGGGUCCCUUCCCACUCUACAAUUCUAUGAUUGCAAUGUGCGCUGUGUGGAGCUAGCCUUGGCCCUGGUCCAGAGGCUUCAGCUGGGGCAAAACAUUGUGGCUGGACUAUUGAUGGGGACAGAUUAUCACCAGCACACAACCCCAUUGCUCAAAAGUCUGUGCUGGUUGUCUAUACACUACCAGGCCAGGUUCAAGUUUAGUGUAUUAAUUUAUAAGGCCCUUAAUAAUUUGGGUCCAGGAUUUGUUGUUGUUUAGUCGUUUAGUCGUGUCCAACUCUUCGUGACCCCAUGGACCAGAGCACGCCAGGCACUCCUGUCUUCCACUGCCUCCCGCAGUUUGGUCAAACUCAUGCUGGUAGCUUCAAGAACACUGUCCAACCAUCUCGUCCUCUGUCAUCCCCUUCUCCUUGUGCCCUCCAUCUUUCCCAACAUCAGGGUCUUUUCCAGGGAGUCUUCUCUUCUCAUGAGGUGACCAAAGUAUUGGAGCCUCAGCUUCAGGAUCUGUCCUUCCAGUGAGCACUCAGGGCUGAUUUCCUUAAGAAUGGAGAGGUUUGGUCUUCUUGCAGUCCAUGGGACUCUCAAGAGCCUCCUCCAGCACCAUAAUUCAAAAGCAUCAAUUCUUCGGCGAUCAGCCUUCUUUAUGGUCCAGCUCUCUGAGAGCUGGGUCCAGGAUACAGUCCCUUAUAUCCCUUCCUGAUAACUAAGGUCAUCAGAGGAGGCUGUGUGUAGUAUUGUGAGUCCAAUUAUGUGGCACUCCUUUCCUGUUGAGGCUCCAUCUCUACUGAAAUUCCAGUGCCUACUGAAGCCUUUUAAAAAAAAUAUUGCAGCAGGCAUUUUAGGUUUGAUUGCAUGGUUUUAACCUACUUUUAUCUUUUGUACUGUAUCUCUGCAAACCACUUAAGAGACUAUCAUACCUUGAAGUAGAUCACAGCGCUUCUUUACAUAUUAAAAAGCAACAACCCAAAACUCUUAACCCCAGCUACUUUACAGAUAAAAAAGCCAAACCUCUACCCCCAAGAAGGUGGAUUUGCUGAACCAAGCAGAGACAGACAAAGACUGGCUUGAAGAACACAUUCCUUUCUUAGUCAGAUUGCUGGCUAAUAGCCCAGGAUCUUUGGUUGAUAUUUCAACUGUGAGAGCUAAUGAUUAGGAGAUGGCCUCCUCAAGAAUGAGGAAAUCUCCCUGUUUCCAAAUGAAAUACUCACCUGAGCUUGGAGUAGCACUGACCCAAGACAUUUUGCUGCUGAGGAACAGGGCAAGAUGGUGUCCUUUCCUCAAUUCUGUGUACUGAAGCCAACCGGACUUGCAGAUGAAUAUUGCUUCAAUGGUGGCAACAGGACAGCCUCCCCUAGGCUAGUUUAGGGGCAGCAGGGCAGGGUGUGUGGUGCCUCCAAUGAACAGGCAUGGUCAAGGGACUCUGGAAGAAGGGACACACAUCUUCUCCCCUGAGGCCACCACCUCUCUUUGCAUAAUGGUAGGGCCAGGAUUGACCCUAUACCCAUCCUUCAGAGGGGAGGGGUCAGUUGUGUAAUGAGAAACAGCACUGGGCAGUUUUGAAAGCCCAGAGGCAGGGAGAGAUGUCAGUCGGCGAAAGGUGACUAUUACAUCACUUUAAACAGUUGUGCUUCUCCCAGAGGAUCCUGGGAUGUGAAAGGUGAUAUAGAAAAAAUAGGGGUGGUUGGCUUUUGCUGCCCAACUCCCCAAGGGACUGAAUCCCCCAUGAUCGGUCAGAGAUGAAUGGAUGGAGACAAGAUGCAGUGAAAACAAGGCAGAUCUUUAUUUUUCUGUUGCAACAGAGUUCCCUCGCCUUCUUGCAAGGAGGCAAGAGAGACCCAGAACCAGGAAGAAACAUCUCUUUUAAAGGUUUGCAUUUUGGCGUGGAGAGGAAGCACAUCCCCUCUAUAACAAAGGACCCCAUGGUGGUUAAAUCCAGUCAAAGGCGACUAUAGAGUGUGGUGCUCAUUUCGCUUUUCAGGCCGAGAGAGCCGGCGUUUGUCCACAGACAGCUUUCCAGGUCAUGUGGCCAACAUGACUAAAUGGCCAUUGAUGCACAGAGGAUGAGUGCCAGAGUGCACGGAAACGCUGUUUACCUUCCCGCUGCAGCGGGAUCUAUUUAUCUACUUGCGCUGGUGUGCUUUCGAACUGCUAGGUUGGCAGAAGCUGGGACAGAGCAACGGGAGCUCACCCCAUCACAUGUAUUCGAAUCGCCGACCUUCUGAUCAGCGAGCCCAAGAAGCUCAGUGGUUUAGACCACAGCACCACCUGCGUCCCAGAUGCUAGGAACUGUAGUUUGGUAAGGGUCCUGAGAGUUGCUAGGAGACGCCAAUUCUCCUCACAGAGCUACAAUUUCCAGAGUUCCCAGAGAGAAGGAAUACCAUAAUUGAAUGUUAAACCACUCUGUGAAGGGAACAGGAGUCUACUAACAACAUAUCAGCAGCAGAGGCUGAAGUUAUGUUACGCAAACUCUGCACCCCCUCACAAAUGACUUGUCUAAGGCCAUGCAAGGAACCCACAGCCAGAAGGGCGGGGUAUAAAUAAAUUAUUAUUAUUAUUAUUAUCUAUGUCAAGGGUAGGAUUUGAACCUGCUUCCCCUUUAGACCAACUCAAAAAGCAUCCAUGCUAACUCAUGAGAGAAAGACACUUCGUAUCUCAUAUUUUAUGAGCAUUGCCAUUUUAAAUAUGCUGAAGACGCAUGUCGCACUGUCUUGCCCUGAUCUUUGACACCUGAGGGGGGGGUGGACCCACCCUAUUAUUGCACCUGUAUUUUUGUUUAAAACUGUUUUUAAUACUGAUGUAACCUGUCCAGGGACCUAACUGUGAAAGGUGGGUAAGAAAUAACAACAACAUGCAGCAAUGUUGAAGUUUCUUAUGCAUGCUUCUUGCUUCCGAUAUCAAUAAAAAUCUCUACAAAAAAGAGCCUCAGAUUCUUUAAACAAUCAGCCCCCUUUAUAGGACCAUUACCCUCCCAGGAUACUCUGUUAACUGUGGUCAACCUUGAACAAAGGAACUUCAAAAGACAACUGGCCUAACUACAGACUGGGAAAAUGAUCACAGUUGCCUAUUAGUGGUGAUUCACGAACCUCAGGAUGCCCACAACUCAGAACAACCACUUUAUGUCUACAAAAGCUGACGCCAUGAUAAAUUUAUUAGUCUUUAAGGUGCCCCAAGACUCUUUGGACGUUUCCAGACUGCCACUGUUUUGGGGUGAGAUUCAGUCACAAACGGGCAAAUGCAGGUUGCACAGUUAAAGUUGAUUUGGCACUCUUGCUCAAGAAACCUGCUCCCCGCAACCCCCCGCCCAAAAAAUAUCCCAGACUUUUUGUAAUAAGGGAAGUGGGGAAAUACCUUCAAAGCAGGUCGGGGAAUAGCGGGAUGGCGGCGCUCCACCUCCCCGCUGUCCCCCGAGCUAGUGGGGCUGGCGAUGGGGGGAAGUGCGCUUCUCCCCACCGCCAACCUCCAAAGCUGGUCUCCGCCAGAGGUGGGAGAGCUUUGGGGUGCAGGCAGCUCUCCCACGGCUUGCGGACAGCUUCCUGAAGCCUGGAGAGCGAGAGGGGUCAGUGCACACUGACCCCUCUCGCUCUCCAGGCUUCAGCGAAAGCCUGCAUUUGCCCCAUAGGACGCACACACAUUUCCCCUUCAUUUUUGGAGGGGAAAAAGUGCGUCCUAUAGGGCGAAAAAUACGGUACAUUGGAAAGUGUGGGUUAGCAAUUGCUUGACCCACAAGCAAAGGAUGAGGGGCAUAGCUCAGUGGUAGAGCAUCUGCUUUUCAUGUGGAGGAUCCUAAAUUUAAUUCCAGUAUCUCCAGCUAUCCCCAGUCUCUGCAGAGCUGCUGCCUACCAGUGUAAACAAUACUGCCCUAGAUGGACCAAUGUUCUGACUCAGUAUAAGGCAGCUUCCUACAUUCCUAAAUCAGAAUGAAGUACAGUAAAAAGCCAGUAAAAAGCCGACUGGGUUCAACCUCCCCACAAACUUUGUGGAAACUGAUCGGGAUGAAUGCUCAAUAAACAGGUUGUCUGCAAGCAACCUCCAUUACUUUAUCUUUUGUUGGUAGCCUCUGGUUUACACAAAGAAUUUGUUGAAUGUAGCCUCUGUUUGCUUGGGCUCUAAGCUCGCAAGGAAGGAAACAAAGUUAAGAUUAGAGUCAUUCCAGUCUUUGGGGCUGUGGAUAUAAAUAACUGACAAUGCACAAGAUAAUAAGUGUUUCUGAUUGCUCAGGACAUGUCAACAAACCCAUCCUCCACAAUUUCAGCAUUUGGUAUGUUUCUAAACUUACACAAACGGGUUUUUUUUUGGUGAGGUAGGGCAUUUCUCUUGCUUCCUAAUAGUUGUAGCGUGGGGAAUAAGGCGUUUACACCAGCUGCUUUCAUUUCUUGGGCUUUAAAGCAGUGGCUUAUUUUUUCCUUCUUCGAAAGAGGUAGUCGAGUUAGUCCGUUGCAGCAAAAACAAAUGUGCCUGCCAACUUUAGGAUAACAGUUCAUGCAUCAAGAUGAAGGGGAGACUGGUUCAUCCAAGCCUGAGCUAUGAUAAAUCUGUUUGCCUCCUAGAUGCCAGCGGAGUCUUUGAUGUUCUUUUCUCCAAAGGUGCAAAGUGGACUCAGCAGGGAGCGGGGAUGCACACCUCUUCAAUUAAAUGUCAUAAAACAUUGUCUACAGCUAAUCUCAACCUCACACUUAAAUGCAACAUGAAUGUUGAUAAGUUUCCCUUAAACCACGGCUCAGAAGCGCAGAUUGUUCAGUUCCAUAAACUCUCUCCAGCGCAACGACAAUGGAGCUAAAAUGGUUCAGAUGUAAACCUCUUAGUUCAUCUUAGUACCAUUAUUAUGGUAGUGAGAGCCAGUGUGGCAUAGUGGUUAGAGUGUCAGACUAGGACCCGGGAAACCAGGGUUCAAAUCCCCACUCGGCUGUGAAACUCACUACGUGACUUUGGUCUAGUCACUGCUUCUCAGCCUAACUCACAGGGCGGUUGUUGGGAUUAAAUGGGAAAGGGGGGAACCAUAUACUGUAUACAGUGGAACCUCGUGUUACAUACCGUCCUCCUUACGAACACUUCGGGUAAUGCGCUCUGCUAACCCAGAACUAGAUGCCGCUUGUUGCGAACUUUGCCCCGGGAUGUGAGUGGAAGUCGUGUGCCGGUGGCGUGGCAGCAGUGGGAAGCGCCAUUAGUGAAAGCGCACCUCAUGUUAAGAAUGGUUUUGGCUUAAGAACGGACCUUUGGAACGGAUUAAGUUCGUAACGGGAGGUACCACUGUAUCACCUUGAGGUCCCUGGAGAAAAAGGUGGGAUAGAAACUAAACAAACAAAUAAAUUACUGGGGAAAGAAGAAGCCCAGGAAAGGGAGGGAGAGAGGGAGGGAGGGGAAGACAACACCAGAAACCUAAUCCUGUCCCACUUGUGAUAGUGGUUCCACAAGGGCCAGCAUUGAUGCCGAAAGCCAGCAUCGCCUGAGCUCUGCGAGUGCGGCUUUCUCCCGACUGAAGUGCAGGGUGUUUGAGGACCGGGACAUUCGCAGGGAAACCAAAAUGCUUGUUUACAAAGCUACCAACCUUACUAUAUGCUUGUGAAACAUGGACCACUUAUAAACGCCAUCUCCAACUCCUCAAAAGAUUCCAUCAACGGUGCCUCCGAAAAAUUUUACUUGGGAAGACAGGCAAACUAAUAUCAGUGUAGUUACAGGUAGGUAGCCGUGUUGGUCUGCCGUAGUAUAAACAAAAUAAAUUUUAAAAAAUCCUUCCAGUAGCACCUUAGAGACCAAUUAAGUUUGUUAUUGGCAUGAGCUUUCGUGUGCAUGCACACUUCUUCAGAUACACUGAAACAGAAGUCACCAGACCCUUAUAUAUAGUGAGAGAGUGUGGAGGGGUAUUCAUCAGUAUUUGCGUUUUUUGCUGUGGUGAGGGCACGGAGAAUCCACCCAUAUUGUCCUUUUGUAGGUUCCAUGUGCUGGGUAUCUACCGUAAUCCAAGAGGAUAUUUUGCUCUGUAAAUGUAAGGUUGUUCCGUAUAGUUCUGUUGAUGGUUUCAGUUACCUUCUGCCAAAAAUCUUUCAAUACAGGACAAUGAAAAAACAGAUGUUUUAGAGAAGCAUUAGCCCUAUUGCAUCUCCAACAGUUAGAUACCUUAGAUAGCCCUUUUUUAAACAAACGUAAUGGGGUCCAGUAUAUUCUAAAUAUUAUUUUUUGUUGUAUAAGCCUCAGUUUAAGAUCCAGAGAGACCCUUGUUAUAGCAGUUAAUGGGUUUGAAUCUCAAUCUAAGGCAGGGAUGGGGAACCUACGGCCUUCCAGCUGCUGCUGAACUACCGUAUAGCAUUAGAGAAUCAUCAAUGUAGAGCUGGAAGGGACCCCAGGGUCAUCUAGUCCAACCCUCUGCAAUGCAGGAAUCUCAGCUAAAGCAUCCAUGACAGACGGCCACCCAACCUCUGCAUAGAAGCCUCCAAAGAAGGUUGGACCAUUGACUGUGGUGGAUGGAGCUGACGGGAGCUGAAGGCCAUAGGAUUCCCCACUCCAAUCUGAGGCUAUACUUCUCAGAUAGAUCCCCAAUAUAAGGCUGCUUUUGUUUGAUGCCACCCUUAAAAAGGUCUCAAAUGGUGGUGUCAACUGGUCAUAAAUAAAGUACCGUAUUUUUUGCACCAUAACACUCACUUUUUUCCUCCUAGAAAGUAAGGGGAAAUGUCUGUGUGUGUUAUGGAGCGAAUGCCUGCGGGUGGCGGGGGGGAUCUGCUGCAGUCGUGAGCAGAGGAUCCAUGGUUCCCCUUCCUUCCCUCCUCCGUGGUUACAAAGCAUGGAUCCACAUGGAUCUUCAGGAUUUUGCAUUGGGCUACUCCAAACUCACUGUCAGAUCACAUGUCUGUGGCCACAGCAUGAACCACAAAAAUCAUAUAUCCACUAUUUCGUUUAGAAUAUUUUUUUUCUUGUUUUCCUCCUCUAAAAACUACGUGCGUGUUAUGGUCUGGUGCAUGUUAUAGAGCGAAAAAUACGGUACUGGGGCCUGCUCCUCUGCCUUUGAAAGAAGCUUGCUACACAGAAAGAAGUGGGUGAAAGAAAGUUUUUAUAUCAAGGAGCUGCUUCACAUAACCACAUACUCCUUGCUGCACUGUUUAAUGCCCAUUCAUGCUGCAGGGGCCAAUUUAAAAGUUAUCCAUCCCAGUUCAAAGGGAGGUCACGGAAGCUCUCUCCCCAUUUUGUUCCAUUCUCCCCACCUCUCUCCUCGCCCUCCAUACUUCCCUUUUAUUUUGCAAACGAGUAUAGUCUCCUUAAAAUGGCAACUUGAGGAUAAAACCUAGACAUCUUUCAGCUCUAACUGCCUCGGGAAGCUCUGGGGGAGGGAAUUAGCAGCACAAGGAGGGAAAUAUUGUCAACGCAUAAUGAUAUUUUGUUUUGUACAUCUGCCACCGUUAUUCCGCUAACUGGCGUUUUCUAAUUUAAUUCUGGGAGCCAAAGGCUGGAGAUAAUUGCCCUUCCUUCCAGUGCUUCUUCUGUCUGUAAUAUAAAUCAAAGAAAGUGCAUGCUCUAAAUUGGGGUCCUGAACCAAGAGAUCAUUGAGAAGACGUUUCAUUUGCUAAGGGCCUUGCCAAAAUAAAUGGUGUGCAGCUGGACAGAAAGGUAACCCUGGAUAUUGAUGAGAACAAGGGUAAUGAAGUCAAAUGUGCCACAGACAGACUGUUGGGGGCAUCCAUCUCUCCCUCUUACCCCCGCCACAAGCUCAGCAUAUACUAGAAAUAUGAAAUCACUUGAAAAUGCUUCAGAAUCAUAAAAACCACAUGCCCGCAAGAUUAAAGGUUCUUGUCACUGAUACUGUGAAGUCCACGUUCAUAAAAUCUUCCUCCACUGGUGGGGGCGGGGGGAGUAGCUGUUUAGAAGGCUAUACAAGCCAACAGCCCAAGAUCUGGCUGGUUAUUCCAAAUAAACACAGGACUUUUCUCCUGUCCUUCCUCUUGGCAUUUUCCCAGAAGAAGAAAAUUCUCUGUCUGUGUACACAUCCCUGUUCCCACCGCUCGGAAACACGCUGGCGUUUGAAGCCGUGAGCACAUGACGUUAGCCACAAUCCAUAUCUCUCCUGUGGUUUCUUGAGAAAUGUUGCCAUUCGAUGCAUUUUUCCCAGAAACCAACUUCCAUCUAAUUUGAAAACAUAGGUCACAUACACCUCACAGUGAAGCUGAGGUGUGCAUAUUUGAAAUCACUGUUGUGCUUGUGCAAGUGACAGCUUCGUGAAGAGUUUCUUAGAUUUCCACAUGUGCCUCCAGCAUGCUGGGGGACCAUUGGAACAGCCAAAGGAAAAAGGCCUGGAAGAUCUGGAAAUAGUAGCUGAGCAGGUGCCCCAGAAAUGAUGUUCCAAUAGGAAGGGGCAGCAAAGGAGACCAGACAGACAUUUCUAGGGUCAAAAAGAGUAAUGGAGAGAAGGUGACUGACAUUUGGGGAUGGUUUGUGUGCCUUAAACAGCUGCAUGACAAGCAGAAAUCCAGGAGGUGACACUCUCCAUAUUGCAGUGUCAAAUCACCACCUAGAAUCAAAGAAUUGUAGAGUUGGAAGGGACCCUAAGAGUCAUCUAGUCCAACCCCAGUGCAGGUAUCUCAGAUAAAGCAUCCAAGACAGAUGGCCAUCCAACCUCUGCUUAGAAACCUCCAAUGAAGCAGAGUCCUUCUUCUUUUUCUUCUUUGGCGAUCACUCGUAGCCGAGUAAGAUUGUCUUCCAUGAACACAAUUUUAACAGUGGGUCCGUAAGUGAUUGUGGAGGCCAAUUCUGGAUCCACACAUCCUUCCACAGUGGGGAUAUAGGUUUCCGGGCAGGAGUUGAUCAUGGUGUGGAUUUGCCAAGUGUGCCUUCCUCUUAGCACGUUUCUCCCUUGCGUCCUGAGUUCGAGUAUCUUUAAAGCCCAUGACACCUUUGGUAAAGACCAGGGGUCAGCAAACUUUUUCAGCAGGGGGCCAGUCCACUGUCCCUCAGACCUUGUGGGGGGCCGGACUAUAUUUUGAAGGGGAAAAAAUGAAUGAAUUCCUAUGCCCCACAAAUAACCCAGAGAUGCAUUUUAAAUAAAAGCAUACAUUCUACUCAUGUAAAAACACACUGAUUCCCAGACUGUCCGCGGGCCGGAUUUAGAAGGCGAUUGGGCCGGAUCCGGCCCCCGGGCCUUAGUUUGCCUACCCAUGGUAAAGGCUGUUCUUCAACCUCCUGAGGGAGUUUGUUCUACUGUCAAUCAGCUCUUGCUCACCAGCUUAAAUUAUGUUCAGGAAACCGCUGUAGCAGGUCAACUGGUCAGUCUAGCCCAAAAUUUAUUACUCCGCUGGGAGUUACCGUAAUCUCCAGGGUCUCAAGCAGAGGGGCUUUCCCAUCCUUUAAUGGAAUAUGCUGGCGACUGAAUCUGUGGGUGAAGCAGAUGUCCUACCUCUCAGCUACGCUUCCUAUGGGAGAGGGUCAUAGCUGUGUGUGGUACAUCUGCUUUGAAUGCAGGAGGUUUCAGGCUUAAUCUUCAGGCAGGGAUGUGAUUAUUACCCUGUCUGAAACCCUGGAAAGCCACUGCCAGUCAGUGUCAAAAAUACUACUGGACCAGACAGACCCAUGAUCUGACUCAGAACGAGUGUCAGUUCAAGUCACCGCUUCUUCCUUAUCAACAUUCAGCACUAAGUGUUGCUGCCUAAGUAGCCAAAAGGCUGCUUUCAUCACCCAAAUGGAAGAAGGAAGUCUUUUUUUUUUUUAAUAAUUUUUAUUAACAAACCAAUCAAAUCACAUUAAUUCCAAAUUACAGAGCCAAAUUUUAAAUUUUUGUUGGGGGUACCCAUAUUUUGAGCUCCGAAAGGGAUCCGAUCAUCUUAUUGCUGCUGCUUUGAUGUUCACAGUUCUGUCCAAAUAAUCUUCACAAUUCUAUCCAAUCCUCUCUUUGUUGUUUUCCUCAUCUCUUCUUGUUGUUUUCGUAUAUUUUUCCCUUCUCUUUGUGACCUCUGAUGGAAGAAGGAAGUCUUAGCAGGCUUGAGGAUGCAAUGUUUCUGCAAUGUUUGCAGAAAUAAUUAAAAAAAUAAACUUCAGAAAGAAUACAUAAGGGAAGAGAACCCACGAUGGUUGCAGGAGCAUGGAAUAAUGAUUCACCUUAGAAGGAAUGGGAAACUAAGAAGAAUGGGAAAUGGAAUGGAAGACCGGAGUGCCUGGCGUGCUCUGGUCCAUGGGGUCACGAAGAGUCGGACAUGACUAAACGACAACAACAACAACAACAAAUCAACAUAGGAUAUGGCUGGCUGAUUAGAAAACUGCAACAUUUUAUUCCCAUACCUGCUUGUUUAGCUUAAAUUUCCCCAUAUUGGACUAGUUCCUGGUUAUGGGGACAUUUCCCCAUAUUGGACUAGUUCCUGGUUAUGGGGAAGUGUGCAAGCACAUUCUGGGAAAUACACAUAAAAGUCUCCUUCAGACCUUGCCCCCCAAGGUGAAAGGUGGGGCCAGCUGCAAUUCUUCCUGCAUGCUUGAUAAUGCCUGAAGAGAGCUUCUGUUGUUAUAAAAAGAGCUAAACUGCUGCCAGAGGCUGGGCAAGCAAGUUCUUGAAAGAUCAACAGUGGAGCUGAAACAGAUCAAAACAAACACCUAUCCAAAUAUAUACCAAUUAUAGGGAAAUGAUGUUAUUGCUUCACCAAGUUGUCAUUCCAGAGAGGGUUAGUUUUAUUGGCCUGUACAAACUUCAGAUACUCCUCAACUGCCUUUUUGAGAUAACUGCUACCAGCUGCAGUAAAACAAUCUCAGUCUUCGAUAGCAAUCAUUACAGGUUAAAGGCCUUCAGCAUAUCUGAACCCAUUAAGUUAACUCAGUUUCCUUGAUCAGAAGUUGCAAACGUACCAUAUUUUUCAGUGUAUAAGACGAGGUUAUUUUAUUUUAAAAUUAUGCUAAAAAUUUGGGGUCAUCUUAUACCCGGAUAGUGGAGAGGUGGGAUGGGCGAUUGGUGGCUGCCGCGAGCAGGAGAUUGUCAGUGGCGUUUUUGUGGGUGAUUGGUGGGUGCGGCAAGGUCCACUGGCUAUUGGCUGCUACGGCAAUUGGGUGUGUGUGAUUGGUGCUUGCUUUCAUUGAGCAUGCAGACAAUUGGUUGCUUUGUCGAUGUGCGUGCGAUUGGCUGUGCCAGUCCUGCAGGUGAGCGAUUUUCAGCAACCCCCCUGAAAAAGCUCAAGAUGUCUGGGCAAUUCCCCCCCCCCCAAAAAAAAGCUCUGCAACUGUGUGCAAUCCCCUCACAAAAAUGCUCAACAACCCUGGGCAAUCUCCCCCCAUUUUCUCAAUUUGGAAUCCCCCAAAAGUCUUAUACAUGGGAGCGUGUUAUACAGUGGUACCUCUAGUUACAAAAUUAAUUCAUUCCGGAGGUCCGUUCUUAACCUGAAACUGUUCUUAACUAGAGGCGUGCUUUCGCUAAUGGGGCCUCUUGCUGCUGCUGUGCCGCCGGCACACGAUUUCCGUUCUCAUCCUGGGGCAAAGUUCUCAACUCGAGGUAACUCUUCCAGGUUAGCGGAGUUUGUAACCUGAAGCGUUUGUAACCUGAGGUGGUACCUCAGGUUACAUACGCUUCAGGUUACAUACGCUUCAGGUUACACACUCUGCUAACCCAGAAAUAGUGCUUCAGGUUAAGAACUUUGCUUCAGGAUAAGAACAGAAAUUGUGCUCUGGUGGUGCAGCAGCAGCAGGAGGCCCCAUUAGCUAAAGUGGUGCUUCAGGUUAAGAACAGUUUCAGGUUAAGUACAGACCUCCGGAACGAAUUAAGUACUUAACCCGAAGUACCACUGUACACGGAAAAAUACGGUAAGUUCACACUUGUCACCUGUGACCAUUAGCCCUGCUGGCUGGGGCUGAUGGGAGUUCAGCAUCUGGAAGGCUACAGGUUUCCUGCUCCUUCCUGCCUUAGAGAGCAAACUAGUCAAGAAGCUAGACAAGAACUUUAUUGUUUCCAUCAAGAACUGAAGAGUAACAACACUAUCCACGCAACACUCACUGCAGGUUUCUUAGAAAGGAACAAGAAGAACCUGCAGGAUCAGGCCAAUGGCCCAUGUAGUCCAGCAUCCUGUUCCCACAGUGACCAACCAGAUGCCUGCGGGAAACCUGCAAGCAGGACUUGAGCACAACCACACUCUCCCAUUCUGUGGUUUCCAGCAACUGAUGUUCAGUUGCAUUCGCCGCAUGCAUCGCUGUUUCCAUUUCGCUGCAGUUCAGCUUCUGCCAAAAACGACGUAAUUCAACUUAAAGUCUGCUGUGGUGGAAUUAGGUAAAUUGCAUUACAUUAUUCCACCCUGUUCAUUUAAUUGCAAAGGGUGUGUAAUGCCAAUGGUGGCGGGAGGACACACACAAUCGAUAGCAUAUCAUUUGUAGGCUAAAGGCAACGGUAGCAAACACCAAUUGUAUUUGCUGGAUUGAUAUCAGUUCCAGACAGGGGACAAAUUAGUGAACACCAGCAAGUUCCAUUUUCCUCAGAAUUCUCUGACAUCUCUACCUGCAAGAGAAUGUUAUAGCCAAACAUGUUGUUCACGCUUUCCCCCACCCCACCGCUCUUUACAUCUGAUCCCAAGGACCAUAAUUAUUUUAUGAGAGGUCUGGAAAAUAAGGUGCAAUGGUCUUGACCUAGUUCACAAUGUUUGGUUUUGAAGUAGUAAAAUUUGCCUACACCAAGAAGCUGCAAAAGCUGAUUGCUUGCUACGCUGGGGAAAAUGCAUGCAGGGUUAUCUCUGACACAGUAACUACCGUAUGUCACAAAAAAAUAUGAUUUUCAGGCUUAAAGAACCUUGUUUUCGGUUUAACAUUAAAUCUGCAGCAGGAGAUUUAGCAACCACCGAAUGUCAUGUUCUUUCUGUGCAUCCAGACCUCAAAUCCAUUGCCACAGCUCCCAGAAGUCUUUGGGCGGAAGCCAUGAUGACUGCUUGAAGUGAUAACAGGUAACAUCUUGGCCAUUUCACCCUGCAAAAUGCUUCCCAGCAACAGGAAGGAGCUUGGGAAAAUCUUCUGGGUGGAAGAACUGGAGUGUUAGAAAUGUACAACUGCCCUUAUUUUCACCUGCGAAGUGCUGGAGAGUGUAAUGUUUGCAUGUCUAUUCAAAGCCAUGCCCAUUCGACUCUGGCGGUGAACACGGCUGGCUCACCCAACUCUUGAGGUCCAUGGAGGGCUCCAGGUCACAAAGCAAGUUGUUGUUUUUGCUCUGCCCCCCACAAAACACCGAUAAUUCAGCAGUUGUGUUUGUCAUGUCAGAUUGCACUCCCACAAGACAGCUUGCUGAAUAGGGAAAUCCUGUCUGGAACAAGAUGAGGACGGGAGGGCUCUGUUUGAGUUAUCACAUCCCAAAGCUUUGUUUGCGGAUGCAGAAAGCUUAUCACAAAGUUUAAAGUUUUAAAAAAGCACACAAGAGGGAAACAGCAAAAGAAAUGAAAAUAAAUACAGUGCAACUUCAGCAACAGAAAUGUUGGCAUCUGUUUCCAAACACGCCUCCAGAUUAUUGCUCAAAUAUUAUGCUAGUUAUAGAUAAACUGGGCAUAUCUAGACGGGGAGUGCUAUGUUAGUUCAAAUUUGUUGAUUAAAUGUCUCAUUCUACAAAUGCACCUAUUUAUUAAUUUCAGUCACAUCCACGCCGUAUAUUGAAAGCACAUUAAAAAUGUAAGGGAUCAUGGGCAUAGCCAGGAUUUGGGGGGGGGGCAGGCCUUUUGUUUGGGGGGGCGCAGAACCUCAGCUAGCUACGUAUUUUUAUUUUUAUUUUAUUUUUUUAGGGGGAGGCCCCUGCCCCCCCCGCCCCCCCAUUUCGUUCCCCUUGCUCUCUACUUUUUAACUGAAAAGAACUUCUAACUGCUUUCAAGGACUAUCAAGUUUAGAGGACUCUCAGUGAAUCUUGCCUUAUAAGUUUGGGAUUCAGGUCUCAUCUUGGAAGUACAACAAGGGAAAUAGCUACGCAAAUUACCACGAUGAUUAGCACAACAGAUCACCCUCUGAUGAAUCACGUAUCAGCAUAUACAGUGGUACCUCAGGUUACAUAUGCUUCAGGUUACAUACGCUCCAGGUUACAGACUCCGCUAACCCAGAAAUAGUGCUUCAGGUUAAGAACUUUGCUUCAGGAUGAGAACAGAAAUCGGGCUCCAGUAGCGCGGUAGCAGCAGGAGGCCCCAUUAGCUAAAGUGGUGCUUCAGAUUAAGAACAGUUGCAGGUUAAGUAAGGACCUCCGGAACGAAUUAAGUACUUAACCUGAGGUACCACUGUACCAGUAUUUAGCUGCUGAAGUAUUGCCCAGCCCUAGCACUAAAUCUCGGCUGCUGCUUCCCGCCUUAUUACUACUACUACUACUCCUCAUAACUACUUAUUACUACUGCUACUACCUCCUGGCAAAUAGAAGGGGAAGAAAUGGAGGCAGUGAGAGAUUUUACUUUCUUGGGCUCCAUGAUCACUGCAGAUGGUGACAGCAGUCACGAAAUUAAAAGACUCCUGCUUCUUGGGAGAAAUGCAAUGACAAACCUAUUCCUCACAACUACUAACAGCUGUGACAGGAGAGGAACUGCAGCUAGAACAACUACAAAGCAGGCAUAAAUUUUGCCCUUCACUGCUGCUGUCUGAGCAAGAGAGGAGAGUCACCUUUCCCACCGAUUUACAACAGCUGAGCUUCACAGCGGACUUCUGGGUGGUGCGGGGAGGUUUUUGACGUGACUUACGGGUUAGCAAUGUCUGUGCUAGGAAGGGUUAGUGUUUGAGCUUUUAUUUUUCUCUGCAGGUUAGUGGGAGUAUAAUUCUAUUUGAUUUGUGUCCCUGUGUUGCCAAUGUUGUUAUCAAUGCCUUUGCUUGUUUAUGUUUAACCCGCUUCUGUUUUAUAAUGUGUUUAUGUAUAUGUUCCUCAGUCUAAGUCCCUUGGGAGACCUUGUAGGUGACCAGCGACUAAUAAGAUUAAUAAAUAAAUACUCUGUGUGUGUGCACACAUAUUGUGCAACAUCUCCGCCAUCCCCAGUUAUCUCAAAGGUCCACACGCAAGUCGCAGCAAGGAACUUAAUCUCUGCUUUCCUUAUCAGGCAUGAUGCCUGCAAGGUCUGUUUCUUUUAGAUGGCAAGACCUCUCAUCUGGGAUAAGCCUAUCAGCAGAUCUCGUGCCGUCAAGGCACCAAUACCUUCUUGUUUGCCACAAAGGGCAUUUUCCUUCUUAGAGAAUAAGGACCUGCAGCUUUGCACGUUACACAAAUCCCUCUUGUCUCACGCGCUUCCCCAGCAAAGCAGGCCUGGUCCAACCUUUUGAGGUCCUAGGAGCUGCCUUGUCAAAAUGUUUCUGUACAUCAGAGAUGCUGCACGGUCAGGAUUUCACAGCAAAGAAGAGAUAGUCUCCUCUAACAUAGUAUGCAAUGCAUCAACUGAAGCACUGGUCUUCCAGUGAGCUGUGGCCUGAUGAUCCAAGGUGGGUUGUCACAGGACCAUGGGCACCAUUCAAAUACAGGAGUUUCCUGCCGCCAAUCAGAAGCCGCGAUUUGGUUUAUGAACGUUUUGGAAGUCGAACAGACUUCUGGAACAGAUUCCGUUCGACUUCCAAGGUACAACUGUAUAGGGUGAAAAAGCAAGAGAUUUCCCUCACAUUGCUACAGUUCUCAGGUUGGUUUUACAAUCACUUUUUAUUUUUGGGGGGUCCCAGGGAACUCUGAGAAUUGUGGCUCUGUGAGGGGAAUAGUAACUCUCAGCACCCUUAAUGAACUACUAUUCCCAAUAUGCGUGACUCUUAAAGUGGUAUGAUACUACUUUAAAUAGUCCAGAUAUGGCCCUGUAGUUUGAUAGCAGUUCUAAUCACCUUGUGUGCUUUUUGUGUGAACUGAGGAAGCUGGAAGUGCUGAAACAUUUUUUUUUUAAAAUCCUUUAGAAAUGGUGUGGGAAUCCUCUUUCCUAGGAAAAUAAUUGACCAAUGGGGAAAGCCUAUUGGGUGAGUUGAGCCAGAGCCAAAACUGAGCCUGUUUGUUGUACUGUAUGAUUUUAUAAUUCUCAUUCUUUCUCCACGUCCCCAUUUCUGCAGAUUGCAUGAAAUUAGGUCGAGGGCACAUGUGGUAUGCAUACCAUAGCAAUGGCCUACAUUCUAAUGUUCAGAAUUAGGCCAUUCUAAAGUUCAGAAUUAGGCCAUUCAUUGCUGUGGCAUGCAUACCUCUCUGCUCAGCUUAGCAGAGGUUCUUGAGGCAAGUAGCAAAAGCGCCUUGGGAUUUUUUAAGGUUAAGAGGCGUGAAGUAAAAUUAUUCCACCAAGAUACACAAAUGAAUCACUCGGUUAGGCCCAGGUGACUUGCAAAAGCAUGUCCAAGAUAUGUAAAUGAGCAGCGGAGACAGGGGACUUUGAAAGACAUUGUAUAUACAGUACUGUAUUGAGAAUUGGGAGUAGGGAGGGAAAUGAAAGAAAGGCCUCAGGAAGAGAGCUCUGACCUCAGGCCUAGAUUCUAAAACAACUCCAUAUAUACCUUGGGUUGAAGAGCAGGGCAGCUGGAUUAAGUUCAGAGGUUAAGAUGUACACAGUGUUUGCAACUGCCUGAAAUAGUGCACUGCAUACGAAUAACGGAAAGUUCUACUUUGCAUGUUGUUCUUUAGUCGUUUAGUCUUGUCCGACUCUUCGUGACCCCAUGGACCAGAGCAUGCCAGGCACUCCUGUCUUCCACUGCCUCCCGCAGUUUGGUCAGACUCAUGCUGGUAGCUUCAAGAACACUGUCCAACCAUCUCGUCCUCUGUCGUCCCCUUCUCCUUGUGCCCUCCAUCUUUCCCAACAUCAGGGUCUUUUCCAGGGAGUCUUCUCUUCUCAUGAGGUGGCCAAGGUCUUGGAGCCUCAGCUUCACAAUCUGUCCUUCCAGUGAGCACUCAGGGCUGAUUUCCUUCAGAAUGGAGAGGUUUGAGCUUCUUGCAGUCCAUGGGACUCUCAAGAGUCUCCUCCAGCACCAUAAUUCAAAAGCAUCAGUUCUUCGGUGAUCAGCCUUCUUUAUGGUCCAGUUUUCACUUCCAUACAUGACUACUGGGAAAACCAUAGCUUUUACUAUACGGACCUUUGUUGGCAAGGUGAUGUCUCUGCUUUUUAAGAUGCUGUCUAGGUUUGUCAUUGCUUUUCUCCCAAGAAGCAGGCGUCUUUUAAUUUCAUGGCUGCUGUCACCAUCUGCAGUGAUCAUGGAGCCCAAGAAAGUAAAAUCUCUCACUGCUUCCAUUUCUUCCCCUUCUAUUUGCCAGGAGGUGAUGGGACCAGUGGCCAUGAUCUACUUCACGUUUUCAUUUAUUUAUUGAACAAAAUUUGACACACGGCUGGGUUGCACAGAAAACCUGCGGCAGCUCUGCUCUUCCCUCUUUUGGGAUGAUAUAAGAAAAAAAAAUGCUCCUUUUCCCUUAUGGGGUACCCAAGAGCCCAUAUACAGUGGUACCUCGGGUUACAUACACUUCAGGUUACAUACGCUUCAGGUUACAAACUCUGAUAAGGACUUAAGAACUUUGAUUCAGGAUGAGAACAGAAAUCGUGCUCCAGCGGUGCAGCAGCAAAAGGCCCCAUUAGCUAAAGUGGUGCUUCAGGUUAAGAACAGACCUCCGGAAUGAAUUAAGUACUUAACCCGAGGUACCACUCUAGAGUCCUUUUGUAGGUUCUCUAUCGGUAGGAGAAAAUAACAGAGACCAACCAGAGAAUACAGUGGUACCUCAGGGUUAAGUACUUAAUUCGUUCCGGAGGUCUUAUAACAGGGAAGUUAGUUCCCAACUUGGCUGAAGGUGGUUACAUGGGGUUGCCAUAUAUUGAAGAGCAAAAAAAGAGGGCAGCCCGAGCUGCUGCCAGCCUGAGCUGGGAAAAAGAGGUGUGCCUCUUUCUCUGGCUCGGGCUGACAGAGGCCACGGUGAGCAGAGCAGGCAGAGCCCCUUCCCCCCCCCCAAACCUGGACAUUUCCUUUAAAAGGUAAAAAAUCUGCCUAGAUGGGCAUGUUGGCUCCCCAGCAGAGGAUAUGUCUAGGUUUUCCCAAACGUACGACAACCCCGUUGUUGUGUUCAGGGCCAGAUUUAGGUUUGAUGAGGCCCCAAGCUACUGAAGGUAAUGGGGUUCUUUAUAUGUCCAGCUGCCCUUUGUCAACAACAAAUUGUCAACAACAAGCCGCUAUUUUUUGUGUUGAAUAUAUGCUAUAUGGUAAUUUAUGGACCAAAUAGGUCCAUACACAACACAAAAUACUUCUGCUGUAUGUAGAUUUUAUUGUAUUUGUUUUUUAUCUUAUAUUUUGGAAAUGUACAUCCAGUUUUUUCCCCUUUAAAUUUUUUAGGGGCCCCCAAGAGAGUGGGGCCCUAAGCUAUAGCUUGUUUAGCUUAUACGUAAAUCUGGUACUGGUUGUGUUGCAUCUGUGCCUGCUAAUGAACCUGGCUGGCUGCCCAGCUGGCAAGAGAGGAAGUGAGUAAUGGGAAUGCCAGACAGGCAGAAAGACUCACUCAGCCAAUCCACAAUGGGGAGGGGGAUCCCCUUAGCUGGCACCACCAAGCCAUUUCCAUUGGUUUCAGUUUGCCAUUGUGGAUGUUUUAGGCUUCUAGGAGCCAUUGAGCAUGCAAGUGGCAACAUGCACCAGCCACUGAGAGCCAAGUGAGAAGACUCUUCUGCGUGGCUCACAUGCUCUCCUUUCAUUGGCUCUCGGGAGGCUGACAUGGGGUCUUGGGGCGGGGCAGGAGGAAAGGUGAGCCAUUGACGACUCCCUACAAUCUGGGAGGACUAUACCAUCCACAUAGCUCAGGGCAGGAUGCUGCUUGUUGCCCCACUAACCUGCCACACAUUUUGUCCUCCCCUCUGCCAAAUCUGGCACUGUAUUUAAGGUGUAAAUAGUACUUUCCUUGAAUAACCAAAGUACUUUACACCCAUUUGAACUGGAGUCCAUUCCAAAGCUUUGGUAAAAGUAGGUCAGUGUGAUUUUCUUCGCAACUACAGUGGUACCUUGGGUUACAUACGCUUCAGGUUACGUACGCUUCAGGUUACAGACUCCACUAACCCAGAAAUAGUACCUCGGGUUAAGAACUUGCUUCAGGAUUAGAACAGAAAUCGUGCUCCGGCAGCGCGGCGGCAGCGGGAGGCCCCAUUAGCUAAAGUGGUGUCUCAGGUUAAGAACAGUUUCAGGUUAAGCACGGACCUCCGGAACAAAUUAAGUACUUAACCCGAGGUACUACUGCAGUACUUUUUGGAAAAUAGAGCACUCCCUGUUUCAGGAUGCCAGCCAUUCUAUUUCUUCCUCCAGAGCCAUUCUAUUUCUACCUCCAGAGUACAGUGAUACCUCGGCUUCAGGUUGAGUGCUUUUGGGUUGCGCUCCGCAGCGACCCAGAAGUAACGGAACGUGUUACUUCCGGGUUUUGCCGCUUGCACAUGCACAGAUGGUCAAAAUGACAUCGUGCGCGGAAGCGGCAAAACAUGACACGCACACGCACAGACACACUGUCGCGUCUUACAUUCUAUUUGGGAUGCGAACUGGGCUCCGGAAUGGAUGCCGUUCGCAUCUUGAGGUACCACUGUACUGGGCAUGCUCAGUUCUCAUUGGGCUGUUUUGGGUCACCUCCCCCAUUCUGAGGUUCUUGGGCCCCCUCUUGAGAUUCUUCAUGCUUCUAUAAACCUGGGGGGUCCCCUGACUUUUCUGAAACCUCCAUCCUGAGCUGUUUGGGCUGGAUCUGCAAGCAUGAAAAGGCUGUCGCCUUGUCAGGAGACAGCAGACUCAGAAUGAGAAUGGAGCUGAUUGCAGUUGUGAGGUUUUAUUUAAGUACUUCCUGAUAGUCCACUCACUUAAUCAGCAUUCUCAGCUAACUGAAAAAGCAGAAGGAAACCUGUUGUUUGACCAGCCAUACAACUACAACAUGAGAGUCCCUCCAGUAAUAGAUAGAAAUUAGGUACACACUAUAAAACCCCUGAAACAUCUUUCACGAGCGAGAACAGCAACAGAGGCUUUCAAAUCAGAUUUUUUUGAAUGGUGCAAUCCAGGGAUUGCAAUCCAGGGAUUGGGCUACCUGAAAAACCUGACAGAAGAGUCACAUUUUCUUCAAAGGAUCCCGCCCUCCAAACCAUCUGCACAGAUCUUACAAACAGAUUUAUGCAAGGGUGAGUAUAGAGGUUUGAAUAACAGUGUUGCAGGCCACCCCAAUCUCAGAGAGGUGCAAAGUUCCCGUCGCUUUCCUAGGGUUUGUGUUUCCUCAUAAUGAGUGACAGUGGAGACUGUGGUGUCUUUAUGAUAUAUGGUUUAUUUACACAUAUAUACAACCUGAGCCUACGAUGGAGGGUUUCACAGCCUUAAUACCCCAAGGCAUAGCUCUGUCUCACAGCUGCCCAGUCUGCUUCUUGCUUCUAGCGCUCUCUCACACAACUCUGGUCUUUGUCUUCUUAAUUACCAGCUGGUUGAAGGAGGGAGGCUGACGUUCUUGUCCUCUGGCACAGGGCCACUUCCUUUGUUACCUUAAUGGCCCAUACUUAGACGUCCAUUAACAAGCAACUUUUCCAGCUAUUACAGCAGUUUGAAUCCUUGCUUAGAUUUGCACCCCUGCUGGAUCCAGGAACUGGAAGGGUCUCAGGCAUACGGCCUACCCCCACCCCCCAAAAAACCACGUCAAAACAAUAUGAAUGUGUCAGGGGUUCAGGGACAGAGGCACAGGGUAGGCAGGAGAUGGAGAGCGAUGGGGAUGAAUCCCAGGACAGCGAGGAAGAGGAUGACAAUGACUCAAGAGAUUCCAUGAGUCUUUCCAGCGGAUCAGAGGAUUCCCAGAAGGGGGCGCCGGUGGUCAAGGCCAGGGGAGCCCCAGGGGGGACGUGUCAGGAGCAGGGGGCCAGCGGGGAUCCCAAAGUGGCAGCUGGGCGUCAGGACCAGCCUCCCGCCAGCGUGCAGCGAAGGGGGUGGAGGUUCCAGUGUAUCCGGGGAAGCAGCUCCGGCAGCAGAGAAGGGAGGGAGGGCGGAGCACGCCACCCCCCCGGAUGGGGUGGGGAGCAGUGACGGGAGUAGUGUAACUGUCAAAGGGACAGUUAGAGGUUGGGCGCGCGCGCCUCGUUCAAGUGUAGCGGCGCGCGGACGUGCAGGGAGUCCGGAGGCGGGGCCCGGUCCCAAAGCCCGCAGGAGGGGGAAGAGCAAUCUGGGGAUUCCGCGUCAGGGGAAUCCAGGAGGGGCGAAACCCCAGCGGGCAGGAAGACCCUGCGGAAAAGGAAAGAGAGGAAAAGGUGGAGCAGCGCAAGCCUCUUAAACUGGUGCAGGGGAGGGACUGACUCAGAGAGGACUUCAACGGUCUAAGCGUAACAGACGUGGGGUUGCGCGCCUCGGAUGUGAAGCAAACAAUGAACUCCAAUAAAUACCUUUGUAUAUAAGAAGAACUUGGCGUUGGUCUUUUGUGAGCUGAGACCUGAGGCAGCCCUGACAGAAUGUAAUGACAAUGUUACACUAACCUGCCCUAAAGUAACUGUGGUUUAUGUUGUACCAGGCAAAGGAAUACAAGCAGGAACAGCGCCUCAAAUGCAAAUAAUUAUCUGGAACCUGGAAUUUUUUUGGUGAGGCAUACAUUGGGGAUUAGGCAAACCCAGGGAGGAUUAUGGGUAUUAAUGGCUACAAGUCAAUGCAUGUAUAUUAACUCCAGAAGCAUUAUGCCUCUGAAUACAGUGGUACCUCGGGUUACAUAUGCUUCAGGUUACAUACACUUCAGGUUACAGACUCCAUUAACCCAGAAAUAGUGCUUCAGGUUAAGAACUUUGCUUCAGGAUGAGAACAGAAAUUGUGCUCCGGUGGCGCGGCGGCAGCAGGAGGCCCCAUUAGCUAAAGUGGUGCUUCAGGUUAAGAACAGUUUCAGGUUAAGAACGGACCUCCGGAACGAAUUAAGUACUUAACCUGAGGUACCACUGUACUAGGUGCUGAGGAGAACAGCAAAGCUGGGAAACUGCCCUCACAUCCUUGUGGGCUUCCCAUAUCCAUUUGGUUGGCCACUCUGAGAACCAAGGUGCUAUGAUACCACUUUAAACAAUCAUGGCUUCCCCCCAAAGAACACUGGGAGCUGUAGUUUGUUAAGGAUGCUGAGAGCUGCUAGGAGACCCCUAUUUCCCACGCAGAGGGAAAUUUCCAGAGUGGUUUUCCCUUUUUAAAGGGGACUCUGGAAAUUAUAGCUCUGGGCACCUCUCAGCACAUUUUGUUAAACUACAGCUCCCAGAAUUCCACGGGGAAGCUGUGAGUGUUUAAAGUGAGAAUGGGUGUUUGGUCUGAACCAAUUGGCCUCUUCUGAUACCCUCAAGCCAUCUGUGAUUGGAUUUCCUGUGUCACGUGGGUUACUUAUGGUGUGGCUGCUUUUAAGCUUCCUCUCUUGAACUCUUUUAGCUCAGUUGAUUAAAGUGCAGUGGCUGGUAACACCAAGGUUGUAGGUUCGAUCCCCGUACGGGACAACUGCGUACUCCUCAGGGUCCCUUCCAACUCCAGAAUUCUGUUAUUCUAAGAAAAGACGUUACUCUUCAGGGUUGCCUACCUCCUAACACUUUUGGACCUGACACACCGCCUUGGAGCUUUCUGGAAGCUGCCUUACACCAAGUCUGUCCAUUAGGUCCAUCUAACGCAGUAUUGUCUACACUGACUGGCAGCUGCUCUCCAGCGGUUUAAGGCAAGGGGCAUCCCAGUCCUACUUGGAGAUACCAGAAAUUGAACCUGAAAUUUUCAGCCUUCAAAACAGAUGCCAUAUCACUAAGCUGCAGCUUUCCCCCAAGAAAACAAAGUUUGCACAAUGGUUUUCUUUCUUUCAUCUUGUUUACCUAGGUUCCUCAAUACUGUUUGCUGGAAAGGUUAGGAUAAGCAACAGAGAAGUUGAAAUAGCAGAGAUAGCUGCAGGAUUAAAGCAGAUUCACGUGUGUGGGUGUGUGUAUACACACACACACACACACACACACACACACACAAACACACCCUGUUCAAAAUGCCAGAGGGGUUUGGAUUUUGUUUUACUUUGAAAUAUUAAAUCUGGAGUGAUCAUCUUUGCAAAGCCAUGUUUUAAAGUAAUAGGUGAAGACAAAUGUCAGUAAAUGGGGCUAGCUCAAAGGCACAUGUGUUCUUAUUAAGCUGUUUUGGUGUUUGUAGGUUUUUUCCUGGUGAGAACAGAGUCCAAGGACUUGAUGGGCUUCUUAUUGUAGCUAGCAACGGGGAAAGGUAGCUCUUUCUUUCAAUAAAGGUUGCCAGUGUCAGACCCUGGGAGAGCUCCUGGGAGAGCAGGUGCUGUAUACAAAUGUCACAGCCGCGCUGGCAAGAGGGGGGCUUUCCCACACAACUCUAUUUUUACCAGUUCUCAGAAAUAGACCGUGCUUCCUCUUCUGCAGAAUGAGUGGACAGCGAAGGCUCUUAAUCUAGUAUAUGAGGAAGUACAAGAAGAUACCUUCAGCGUAGUAAGGAGGACAAGGAAGCAGUGUUUCAGCUCUGUUUGCAAACAAUGUUAAAGCCACACCAUUGGACCAUUUCAGCUGAGAAAUUAUAUGUUUUAUGAGUCUGCAGUGUGAAACCACCAACCAAUCAAUUCAGUGCUGUCACCUGAAGGGGAACCCUUUUUCCUAAUGUCCGAAUCAUCUUACUAAUGCCAGGAUGCCUUUGUUUUCACCAACAUCUGUUUUUUUGUUUUUGUUUUUGUGAAUGAAUGACCACAAAAGAGUUACAUAAGAAUCGCCUGUUUGUUCUUCUCUUGCCCUAAAAAGGUUGAAAAGUCUUGGGGCACCUUAAAGGACUCCUUGUGGGGGGAGGGCAACCAACAAUAGCUGUGGUUGGUGCAUAAGAAACGACCAAACUCUAAAGCCCACAGACUGGGUAUUGUAAUUGUUAUGUAUUGAAGUUCUCACCCUGGCCACCAGGAGUAUUGUGUAUGUAGUUUUCACUCAGGUCCACAUCAGUUAUUUUAGGUGGGAAACCCUGGGUUGUUGUUGCUACAAUGUUGACAGCUGGCUGCCUAUAAAAGCAGGCCGGCUGAGCUGUUGGCUGUUCAGUUCUGUUCCAGCUUACAAAUAAAGAGCUGCUUUGGAAGAAUUGCUGUGCCGUCUGCUAUGUCUACCCGCUAUUCAACAAUAGUCCCCAACUAUUCAACAAUAGUCCCCAACUAUUCAACAAUAGACCCCAACAAUUCAAAUAAUAAUAAUAAUUAAUACAAACCCAAAUGUCCUCCAGAGUGGGAAACUUUCAUAUUGCAUAAGCUUUUGUGAAAGGGCACUGAAGCUCAUGACCAAACGAAAUAUUAUUGCAGGUGUUUUGAUUUUACGAGGUGCACAACAGCUACCUCUCUAUUGCCACCCAAUAUCAUGGGUGUUGGGGUCUUAUUUCAGGGUGUUGGGGUGGAGACUUCAGUUCCAAAGAGCAUGAAAUGUUAUCAUAGAAUUAUAGAACCGUAGAGUUGCAAGGGACCCUGAGGAUCAUCUAGUCCAACCCCCUGCAAUGUAGGAAUAUGCAGCUGCCCCAUACAGGGAUUGAAUCCGCAGCCUUGGCGUUAUCAGCACCACACUCUAAUCAAGUUGUGCAGGUUGUUCAAAGGAGGGGUGCUGGUGAUAGUGGAAAAGGCCCUGGGUUUCUGUUCUGACUCAACAUCUUCGUUUCACUUUUGUUUCCAGUUAUCUUGGGCACGCAGAAAGUUUCAUUUUUCUAGAAAUAGGCUGGGGUUUUAUAAAGUGGUUGGAUUAAAAAAAAAAACCACAUGGAGAUGCAAAAGAUUUGGAUUAGCAUAAAAGCUGCAGGAGGAAAUGAUUAAGAAUAGGACCCACAAAGGAAGGAAGUCCAGGAGAUUCUUUGGACUCUUGUUUCUGUGUUGUGUGUUGGAUAUGUGAUUGUAAAACUUUGAUCUGAAAACCAAAUAAACAGAGAGAGAGAGAGAGAGAGUUUUCAGAUAUAAGUUUUACAAUAUAUAUACCAUUAUCCUCUGCAGAAUUAGAAAGUGAUGCGGGAACAUUAUAACAAGAACAUUCUUCUGCAUGGGCAGAGCCAGGAUUUGGGGGGGGGGGCAGGCCUUUUGUGGGGGUGGGGCAGAACCUCAGUUAGCUAUGUGUUUUUAUUGAUUUUUAUUGAUCAGUGGACAGCUGCCCCUCAUGCUUUGAGCUGUCCAAUAGCCACUUUAUUGCUGGAUGCUGUAGAAAACCGCUGGCUGUUGGGAGACAGGACAAACUAGUCCAGGCCAGGGAUGGAUUUCGGCAGCUGGGAUUUUGGGGCAUGUGCUGUGGCCUCAGCAGGGUGCGGUGCUCACGUCGGCAAUGGGUGGACGGACCUGGGAACCACCUGUCUGAUCCAGCAGGGCUCUUCUUACUCAGAGGGUUACUGUGAGGAUAAAAUGGGAUCAUAACCCCUGCUCCUCCCUCCUUGAAGGAAGCAGGGGCAGACCUACUAUGAAACGAAUGCCUCCUGCCAGCCUAGCAGCUCAAAAGCACCCCGGUGCAAGUCGAUAAAUACCUUCAGCAGGAAGGUAAACGGAGUUUCCGUGUGCUUUGGCUUCCGUCACGGUGUUCUGUUGUGGCAGAAGCAGUUUAGUCAUGCUGGUCAUAUGACAAACGCUGGAUCCCUCAGCCUGAAAGCAAGAUGAGCACCGCAAACCCAUAGUCACCUUUGACUGGACUUCGCUGUCCAGGGGUCCUUUACCCAAACUAAUGAAGCAUAAGUUUCAGGGUUCCUAAUCCCAGAGGUCACUGCAGAUGGUGACAGCAGUCAUGAAAUUAAAACACGCCUGCUUCUUGGGAGAAAAGCGAUGACAAACUUAGACAGCAUCUUAAAAAGCAGAGACAUCACCUUGCCAACAAAGGUCCGUAUAGUUUUCCCAGGUGAUGUAUGGAAGUGAGAGCUGGACCAUAAAGAAGGCUGAUCGCCGAAGAAUUGAUGCUUUUGAAUUAUGGUGCUGGAGGAGACUCUUCAGAGUCCCAUGGACUGCAAGAAGAUCAAACCUAUCCAUUCUGAAGGAAAUCAGCCCUGAGUGCUCACUGGAAGGACAGAUCCUGAAGCUGAGGCUCCAAUACUGUGGCCACCUCAUGAGAAGAGAAGAUUCCCUGGAAAAGACCCUGGGAAACACUGAGGGCACAAGGAGAAGGGGACGACAGAGGACAAGAUGGUUGGACAGUGUUCUUGAAGCUACCAGCAUGAGUUUGAGGGAGGCAGAGGAAGACAGGAGUGCCUGGCGUGCUCUGGUCCAGGGGGUCACGAAGAGUCGGACACGACUAAAUGACUAAACAACAACAACAAUCCCAGAGGGGCACCAGAAGCGACUUUAGUUCACAUUGCUUAAAAGCUUUGCUUUAAUAAGUACAUGAUACAUGUAUAUAACAUUUCCCUAAUUUUCAUCCCCCCACUCAUAACUUGAAAUCUAUAAGGCACAGGAAAUGUUUAUUCACACCAGUGACUUUGACAUGUGAGAUAACCCACUACAGUACAGCAAUUUUAAAUCUGAGGUGUGGUAGCUAAUUUCUUUCUUUCUUUUUAAUGUGGUGAUCUGUCGUGGAGCAACCCCACUGAAGAAGAUAACAGUGGUUGCACCCAGAUCUCGUUGCUGGUUGUGAAGGGGCCCCCAAAUCAGCUCAAGCUUCAGGCGUUCCCAAAAUAUAGUUCUGCCACUGCAAGGAAGGAUGUGACUGUAGACUGCAGUCCUCUACACCGGGGGGGGGGGGGCAGGGUUCACCCCAAGGGCCACAUUCCCUUCUGGACAAUAUUUUGAGGGCCACACACCAGUGGUGUGCUGACAGGGCCAGAGGCAAAAGUGUGUGAAACAACAAGUUUACCUUUGCACACUAGGCUAGUUUAUGUACACAUGCACUAGGCUAGUUUAUGCACACAUGCUCUCUGACCAUCAAGAAGCAUUAUCAGGGUUCAAGGAUACGCUCCCGCAAUGGCAAAAGCACUUGGGGGGUGAAAAUCAGAGCCAGUGGCUGCGGGAGUGUCCCAAGGGCCAGAUGGAGGGGUCUGGAGGGCCACAUUCAGUCUCCAGGACUGAGGUUCCUCUGCAAACUUAUCAAGGAGCAAGUCCCUUUGGACACAACAGGACCUACUUCUGAGUAGAAGGCCUGCUCUGAGAACAAAUAAAUAAUAUAUGAUAGUAUUUUGAAUUUACUAUGUUCUGUGUUGAGUAUUUGGUGUGUACUGAACAUCCUUGCUUCCAAGUUUUCUCUAUUAUUAUUAUUAUUACUACUACUACUACUUUGAGAUGGCAAACCUACACAAUCACAAGGGCCACAGAUGCUGGAUCAGAAUAGGCAAAAUACCAAGUAGCCUUUUCUGAGCUCCACCUUUGCAAAACCUGCGUUCCUGUCUUCUUACUGACUUUGGUCCAGAAUAACUUCAAGCUGAAAGUAAAUGAGCAAAACAAGCAUAUAUUUUUUUAUUUUUUAAACAGCUUUUGCGUGAGUCAUGUUCAUUGUACAUGAGUAGUGUUCAGUUAUCAAUUUAAAUUUUAAAGCUAAAUUUUGAUCUAGGAGUUUCACAAGGCUUGCACCAGUGUAGAAGGUGACUUCACAUUUACUUUUCCUCUUGCUCCAGGGAACUCUCUCCUUGGGGGAUGUCCUUAGGGGUGCUGCAAGAUGAUAACGGUAGAACAGCUUUUGCAUCUUGCUUAUUCAUUAUGAGUGACUGGGGGGGUGUGUGAGGUGAAAUUAAGAGCUUAGCGUGGGUGGGCAAAAGAGGGGAACAGAACUCCACCCCCCACAAUCUGUGCCAUUCCACACACCAAAAAAACCCUGUGUUAUUUCAGCUAUCUGCUUGUUUUCCUGAAUUGAAGGUACUUCCAGUCUUGAAGCUCUACUGGGAGGAAGCUGAAAAUCUCUGUUAAGCCAGCCUGAAAGCAACACCUAAGAUUACAUCUCUUGUGUCACACCAGUAUACCAACACCUUAUCUCCCGAACUCCCAGAGGACAGGAUCACACUUCAAAACGACCUUGACAGAUUAGAGAACUGGGCAAAAACAAACAAGAUGAAUUUUAACAGGGAGAAAUGUAAAGUAUUGCACUUGGGCAAAAAAAAUGAGAGGCACAAAUACAAGAUGGGUGACACCUGGCUUGAGAGCAGUACAUGUGAAAAGGAUCUAGGAGUCUUUGUUGACCACAAACGUGACAUGAGCCAACAGUGUGACGCGGCAGCUACAAAGCCAAUGCAAUUCUGGGCCUGCAUCAAUAGGAGUAUAGCAUCUAGAUCAAGGGAAGUAAUAGUGCCACUGUAUUCUGCUCUGGUCAGACCUCACCUGGAGUACUGUGUCCAGUUCUGGGCACCACAGUUCAAGAAGGACACUGACAAACUGGAACGUGUCCAGAGGAGGGCAACCAAAAUGGUCAAAGGCCUGGAAACGAUGCCUUAUGAGGAACGGCUAAGGGAGCUGGGCAUGUUUAGCCUGGAGAAGAGGAGGUUAAGGGGUGAUAUGAUAGCCAUGUUCAAAUAUAUAAAAGGAUGUCACAUAGAGGAGGGAGAAAGGUUGUUUUCUGCUGCUCCAGAGAAGCAGACACGGAACAAUGGAUCCAAACUACAAGAAAGAAGAUUCCACCUAAACAUUAGGAAGAACUUCCUGACAGUAAGAGCUGUUUGACAGUGGAAUUUGCUGCCAAGGAGUGUGGUGGAGUCUCCUUCUUUGGAGGUCUUUAAACAGAGGCUUGACAACCAUAUGUCAGGAGUGCUCUGAUGGUGUUUCCUGCUUGGCAGGGGGUUGGACUCGAUGGCCCUUGUGAUCUCUUCCUACUCUAUGAUUCUAUGAUUCUAACUCAUUGCCUGCUUCCCCCGCUGCUAACUGCUCACCAACAGAGUUACAUUAAACAGUGUGUUCCUAUACAUGUUUUACUUAGAAGCAAGUCCUGGUGAGAUCCAUGGACCUAUUCCCAGGUAGCUGUCCAUAGUAGGGGCAGGGGAACCUUGUGUUGAGGGCCGCAUUCACUUGGAGUUAAUCUAUUGGGAGUUGCAUGCUGAUGUGUGUGUGGACAGGAACAGAUCCCCUUUUUCUAAGCUGAAGGAAUCAUUUCAUUUCACUUUUAAUUUGUAUACGGUGGACGCUUGGGUUGCGAACGUGAUCCGUGCGGGAUGCACGUUCACAACCCGCAACGGUGUGUCUGUGCACACGCGGGUUGCGAUUCUGCGCAUGCGCAAUGCGCGAUUUAGCACUUCUGUGCAUGCGCAACCUCCGAAACCCAGAAGUAACCCAUUCCGGUACUUCCGGGUUUCGGCGCGUCCGUAACCUGGAAAAACGCAACCUGGAGCGUCUGUAACCCGAGGUAUGACUGUACCGCCGUUCUAUAUUACUAUACACAAGGCGUUUUACAAGCUGAAGAAACAAACAAAAUAGACAGCAGAGAUCACAUACCUAAUAACCAUCUGCUCCAAUACAAAAAAAGUCAGAAUAAAAACAUAACUUUAAAAUAAACAACAUAUCAAAUACAUCAGGCAGAACUUUCUGGCAGUGAGAGAUGUUCAACAGUGGAACAGUCUCCCUCAGGAGGCUGCGGACUCUCCUUCGUUGGAGGUUUUUAAGCAGAGGUUGGAUGGACAUCUAUCAUGUAUGAUCUAGUUAAGAUUCCUGCAUUACAGGGGGUUGGACUAGAUAACCCUUGGGGUCCUCUUAAACUAUUCAAGUCUAGGAUUCUAGGGUUCUAAUAAAGCAAUAUUCAACAAUCUAUUAGAACAAAAUAGUAAAUAGUAAAAUUUAAUAUUACCAGCAAAUAAUAAUUAAACAGUUUACACUUAACAAUCACAAUAAAGAAUUGCUAAACUAUAAUCAAUAGAAAUAAAGGCAAGUCACAAUGCACAAAAUACUGCAAAACCAUGUAAAAGGAUCAAAUUGAGAAACAAAGAGUGGUGGAAUUGCAAUGUAACAACAAAAAAUUUGGGAAAUGAUAUAUAGCAAAAUGGGGAAAAAAUGUUUAAAAUAACCUUUGUUAAAAUCCAGAAGCCUUUUUAUUAGGAAUUAUAGGUACCGUGAUUCCAAAAGACCGGAGGAAACUGUUCAUGUCUGCUACAACGGCCGCUCGGAUGUUACUAGCUCAGAGAUGGAAGGAAGAGAAAGCCCCAACCAGAGAAGAAUGGCAAAUCAAGUUGAUGGACUAUGCUGAUAUGGCAAAAUUAAAUGGAAAGCUCAGGAAUCACGAAGACAAUAAAUUUAAAAAAGAAUGGGGAAUGUUUAUAAUGUAUAUAUACAAAAUAAUUGUAAACAGGUCAAAACAUUAGCAGGAUUUUAAAUACACUUGUAAUGUAACAGAAUGUAUAGAUAACUUAGGAAGAUGAAAAAUUGGGCAUAUAUUGAUAUGCAGUUGAAAAUAUAAUCAAAAGAACCCAUGGAACGGAUGGGGGAAAGUCAGGAGAUUCAGAGCAAUAUCGAUAUUUGGAUUUUGUACUUUUUUUAUGUAUGUUUAUUUUCUUUUUUCUUUCUUUCUCUCUUUUUGAAAAUCAUAUAAAAAGAUUAUAAAAAAGCAAAACAAAGACACACAACUUACAAAAAAAAUUUUUUAGAAAACAUACUGCUGAACUCCUUGAAUCAUGCUGUCUUCCAGCCAGCUGCAAACUGCCAAUUUUUGCAAUCGAAACAUCUGCUACUUUGGCCACAAAGCACUAAGCACCUCAGAGACCCCUACAUUGUUGGAGGACUUAAAGCAUGGGUAAGCAAACUAAGGCCCGGGCGCCGGAUCCGGCCCAAUCACCUUCUAAAUCCAGCCCGUGGACGGUCCAGGAAUCAGCAUAUUUUAACAUGAGUAGAAUGUGUCCUUUUAUUUAAAAUGCACCUCUGGGUUAUUUUUGGGGCAUAGGAAUUCGUUCAUUAUUUUUUUUCCAAAAUAUAGUCCGGCCCCCGACAAGGUCUGAGGGACAGUGGACCGGCCCCCUACUGAAAAAGUUUGCUGACCCCUGAAAGGUUUCCAAACUACACCCUAAGCCAGUGAUGUGUCUUUACCUAACCUUUACGGACAGCUCUAAAUCAGGUCCAGAGGGACUCAGAGCCUUAGUAUCCACUUCACAUCUGGCAAUGGGGAAAAAAAUAUUGGCCACAGAUCUUCGAUUGCAUUGGAUACAACAAAAAACAUUUUCAGAGUUUAUUGGACCCCACACCUUCUUUUUAGGAAAACUUUAACUAGCAUUGACAAAUGUUGAUGUCACAGGAGUUGGUUCUGUGCUAGAGUCACAGUCUUUUGGUCAGAAGUCAUCUGCUGGAUAAAUAUUGUUUCUGAUACCUGUUUGAGAUUUACAGAUGUUAAUGUUCUACUGGAUUAUGUACCAAUCCUCUGGAAAUUGGCAGAGGGACCAUUUAACUGGCUUCCAAGGGCACUUAUGGUGGCCAAACUUCUAACACUUCAAUCCUAGAAAGAGAAAUCUACCCCAUCUGAUGGUACAAUGGACAUUGGGAUUCAAGAUGGCCUCAACAGAUAGGAGAAUUUAGGAAUAACCAACUGCACAAAGGUGAGAAGGGGGACACCUGGUUUGCCAGUAGUACAUGUGGAAAGGAUCUAGGGGUCUUGGUAGACCACCAGCUAAACAUGAGUCAACAGUGUGACACAGCAGCAAAAAUUUAAAAAAGGUAAUCCUAUUCUAGGUUGCAUCAACAUUCUAUUCUCCCUUGAUCAGACCCCACCUGGAAUACUGUGUCCAGUUCUGGGCACCACAAUUUAAGAAGGAUAUUGACAAGCUGGAAUGUGUGCAGAGGAGGGCAACCAAGAUUAUCAAGGGUCUGGAAACCAAGCUUUAUGAGGAAUGUUGAAGGAGCUUGGUAUAUUUAGCCUGGAAAAAAUUAGGCCAAGAGGAUAUAUGGUAAAGGUAAAGGUAAAGGGACCCCUGACCGUUAGGUCCAGUCGCAAAUGACUCUGGGGUUGCGGCGCUCAUCUCGCUUUAUUGGCCGAGGGAGCCGGCGUACAGCUUCCGGGUCAUGUGGCCAGCAUGACGAAGCCGCUUCUGGCGAACCAGAGCAGCGCAUGGAAAUGCCCUUUACCUUCCCGCCAGAGCGGUACCUAUUUAUCUACUUGCACUUUGACGUGCUUUCGAACUGCUAGGUGGGCAGGAGCAGGGACUGAGCAACAGGAGCUCACCCCAUUGCGGGGAUUCGAACCGCUGACCUUCUGAUCGGUAAGCCCUAGACUCUGUGGUUUAACCCACAGCGCAACCUGCGUCCUAGGACAUAUGAUAGCCAUCUUCAAAUAUAUAAAAGGCUGUCACAUGGAAGAAGGAGCAAGCUUGAUUCCUCCUGCACUGCAGGGUAGGACUCGAACCAGUCAAUUCAAGUUACAAGAAAGGAAUUUCCAACUAAACACCAAGAAAGCUUUCUGACAGUAACAGCUGUUCGGCAGCGGAAUGGACUCCCUCAGGAGGUAGUGGACUCUCCAUCCUUGGAGGUCUUUAAGCAGAGGUGAGUGGCCAUCUGUCCUGGAUGAUCUUGUUAAUAUUCCAGCAUUGCAGGGGGUUGGACUAGAUGUCCCUUAUAGAGCCCCUUCCAACUCUAUAAUUCUACUUCUGAUUAACAUUUUUAGGAUCAUACUUUAUAGUUCCUUAGCCUAGGGAUGGGGAACUUUUUCCAGCCUCAGCACCACAUUGCCUUGGGGCCAGAAGCAAUAGUUGUUGGAACGAGGAUGGCCAGUUUUAUGUGCACAACCCUAUGUUAUCUUCCGUCCAGACAUGCAAGAGAUAUUAUCAGAGUUCAAUAGCACAUCCCAGACAGACAAAACCACUCAGGAGUCAAUGCAGAGCCAAUGAAGGAUGUGACCAUUGUGUGGUCUGGGAAAAGUUCCUAGGGUCAGGGUCUGAUGUUUCUUCUCCAUAGGACAGCCCUAUAGCGACCCAUUCCUACUUGAAAACAAACUCCAAGUAUUUGUGGAAUUAUUCCCUUUAAAACCACACCGCAAACCCACAUUAAAGCACCAUUUUCAAGGUUUCGUCUGCGUGCGCAUACAAGUCUGCCUUUUGCAAACGGCUGUAUUAAGUCUGUUGGAGCAAAAUCAUAAAAGAUAUGUUUAAUGGCAUGAGCUUCCUUGAGCUAGAGUCUGCUUAGUCAGAUGCAGGAAUCCAUAAAAACGAAAAUGUUUGUUAUGGGAAAGUGGAGGUGUCAAGGGAGUAGGGGAGAGGAAAUGUUUUGAAAGUUCAGAUAUUCAGGAACCAGAGAGAUGAGUUAGAAUAGAUAAACCGAAGUAUCCAUUUUCAAACGCUUCUCUAUUUCUUCUUUAAAACGUACCUGGGGUUCAUUUUUUUAAAGCUAUUUUUUAAUUAAAGCUUUAGAAAACAAAGAAAAAACAAUAUACAGAAAUCAACAUCAAAUAUCAAGCAUUUUUCUUAACAUAAAGAUGAAAAUAAGACUCCAAUUCUCCAUCUAUCAGCAUUUAAAAACUUAGGCAAAACUCUUCCUCCAUAAUAAGAUCCAACUCUUCUUUCCACAAACCAACCUUCUUUCAAUCUUCAAACCCAGCUAUCACAAACUCCUUUUCCUUUUGUGUGUGCAAAAAGUCCAUAAGGGCUUUGCAAUCAUUAAUAAAUGUCAAUCAUUGAUUUAGAGAAAAUUAAAUUAAACACACAUCUGGGGUUCCUCAGUUAGGAGAACUGUAAUGGGUGGGACCAGGUUGCCCAUAGACCUUACUAUGGGAUGGGUAUCCCCAGGGAGAAGUUUGGUGUGAUCUGCAUGCUCCCUGGGCACCAGGGAGACCAGGCAAUGCAGUGACAGACUCCAGAUUUGGGGGACACCUACAGAUACAGAGUCCCCUUCCUGGACCCCCAACCUUUGCUUGCCCUCUCCCCACCCGCAAGCCAAACCCUGCCAAGAAAGAGAACCUCAACACCGUACACUCAAAACAGCAAGAAUCCUGGAAACUGUAGUUUUGUUACAUCUCAGCCAAGUCAUAUAAGAGGAGGAUGUCAGGUGUCAGACAGGGGAGUCUUCCUCAGAAGAGGACCAGAAGGCUCUCUCCUGGGUCAGGGCUGCAUCUGGGGGUUAGGAGCUGGGAUCCUGAGACAAAGGAUGAGCCCAUGAGGAAGGCUACACCUUAAACAUCAGGUGGGAACCUGGCCCAUUACUGGUGACUACUGGUGAAGGUGCCUCAGGAGGAAAGGUCCUCACAGGAGUAAGACGCUCCUUUCAAGGAGACCUCUGGAGAGAAUGAUAGGAGUUGGCAGGAGCUGAAGGUGAGCUGCGGGGUCCAGCAGCUCCAGCUCAAAACCCCCAGAGCUGGGCUGGGAGAACUGUUGGAACCUGACUUCAGACUUUGUCUCUUGGCUGUCCCUUUGUUGGGGAUCUCUGUUUAUUUGCUCAGAUUCUGGCCUUGGAAACUGCUCUGCUGCAGAUAUGCAGUUCCCUGCUUACUCAGCAGCCUAGUGAAAACAGGGUAAGUUUACCUCUCACAGAACUACAAUUCUCAGCACCCUUAAAGUAUAAUGCCCUGGAUUCUUUGGGGGAUCAUGUGCUUUAAAUGUAUGGUGUGUGUUGGUGCAUGUAGAUAGAUGUGUGUUGGUGCAUGUAGAUGGAUGCCAAGAUUCAAAAUUGGGGCAAGUACUCUUUGGUGAGAGAACCCCCAGAAGAGUUUUAAAGUCAUAAAAUAUGCAGCAAAGUAAACCCUGGAACUCUAGACUAUCAGACUUUUAAAAUAUGCCCUUCCAAGUGUGUUCCAGAAUUUCCCUCUUCCCCCAAGAUCACACCUUUAGUAAGUUUAAAAUAUUUACUUACAAACUCUCCAAAGGUCAGAUUCAUGUGCUUUUCCAUACAAGAGUGAGAUAAGUUGCACAGACUGUAAAACUUAGUUACAAAGUGGUGAAAAUUCCUAGAUUUUUUAUAUAGGAACUCAAAGAGUGGCUGGUUAUAGCCAUGUGGCUGAGCUGGACUAACCAAUUCAAACUUCCCCAAACAAUGAGUUUCUCGGGUAGACUUGAUUACCUCUUUCCUUCCAAGGUAAGGGAAGCAGCGUAGCUAACCUGGCAGGACAGCUUACUCUAUGGUAUUAACCCUUCAUGCAUUGAUUAGACAAGCGUGUUGCUGAUACAGUGGUUCCUCGGGUUAAGUACUUAAUUCGUUCUGGAGGUCUGUUCUUAACCUGAAACUGUUCUUAACCUGAAGCACCACUUUAGCUAAUGGGGCCUCCUGCUGCUGCCGCACCACCGGAGCAUGAUUUCUGUUCUCAUCCUGAAGCAAAGUUCUUAACCUGAGGUACUAUUUCUGGGUUAGCGGAGUCUGUAACCUGAAACGUAUGUAACUUGAAGCGUAUGUAACCCGAGGUACCACUGUAUUGUGAUACUGGUUAUCCCACAGUUGUGUGCAGCCCAUUGCUCCUGACAGCAGGAGUUUAAGAAAUAAUGUGGAAACAGCAAGCAAGCAGAUUUCAACAGUGGUUUAUUUAUUCACAAUUGCAUUUAUACCCCCACCUGUCUGAGGCCCAAGGAGGUGACAUAACAUGGUUUCCCCACCCACUGUUUUCCAGUUUUACAAUCAGGACAACCCUGCGAAGUAGGUUAGACUCUGAGAGGUACAGUGAACUACAUGACUGAGUGGGGAUUUGAAGGGUCCUAGUCCAACGCUCUAACCACUACAUUACACUGGUCGCGGCCAGCAGACCACAUUGGGGGGGGGGUGACACCUCUUGCCGUGGGAACUCCCUGUCCCUGACCAUGUUCCACACUGGCUAGACACCCCAAGGUGCCACAGACGCCCCAUCUCUGUUUGGACCCCUUCUGUUUAUACUUGUCUCUGGCUUUGGAACUUUCUUUAUGUAUGCAACAACAGCAGCAAGAAUACUCAUCGCAAAGUAUUGGAAGACACAAGAACUUCCCACGCUGGAGGAAUGGCAGAUGAAACUGAUGGACUAUAUGGAACUGGCGGAAAUGACUGGCAGAAUCCGUGACCAGGGAGAAGAGUUGGUGGAGGAAGAUUGGAAGAAAUUCAAAGAUUAUCUUCAGAAACAUUGCAAAAUUAAAGAAUGUUAGAGUGAUGUUGGAUCGAAAAUAAGUGGUUUCCAGCUGUACAGGUUAAAGUUAUUGAUAGACUAAGAUUAAAGAUUAGGAUUAAAGAUGUUUAAGGAAAUGGAAAUUUGGUACUUAAGAGAUAAAAUUUUAAUGUUAUAUUACAUUAAGA